GACGAACCGAGCGAACGUUGUUCGGAAUCACUGGGCUUAAAGGGCGCGUAGGCGGGCUGUCAAGUCUGGGGUGAAAUCCCUGGGCUCAACCCAGGAACUGCGUCCGAUACUGGUUGGCUUGAAUCCGGGAGAGGGACGUGGAAUUCCAGGUGUAGCGGUGAAAUGCGUAGAUAUCUGGAGGAACACCGGUGGCGAAGGCGACGUCCUGGACCGGCAUUGACGCUGAGGCGCGAAAGCCAGGGGAGCAAACGGG
rnacentral:rRNA from 1 species